UCCGCCACGCCGACCCAGCACUGACUGCCAUGGGGGCUGAGAUCAGACUCUGUUUUCUCUCCAGACCUCUCGCAGCCAUGGCGACCCAGCACAGCACUGACUGCAGGACUGACUUCCAGUAUUCAGUUGAGCCUUCGUUUGGGACGUUAUGGACCCCGGCUCUUUAUAUAGAGAGAUGGUGAUUACACAGGAAUCUUCAUUCUUUGAAAACAUAUCAAGCAUAAUCAAGGCGAAAACCAAUCAUACUGGCAAUCUUGCUUAAAGGAUGAUUAAAUAGCAAAGAAAUCUUCAAUUUAAAGAUGGAGACCUCCAAGAAGAGAUUCAACAUUCAGAUUCAAAAGAAGGAAGAUUCUGCAAUGCCCUCUUCAGAUGCAUGAAAAUGAAAACAGAAGGAUUUCCCACAGAAGCCAGAGACAACGGCCAUGAGGGGAGGACGAAGGGGAGGCUCGGAAACCUAAGCAAAGAUCUCCUACUCACAGGGAAGGAGAUGGUAAAACAUUUCACCAACAGGCGUUCAGAAGUGCUAUGUUCAGGGACUGCUGAAUACCUUCCAUUCUUCCAUGUCAAAUGGAAGCGUUUAGCAUGGUUAUCCUGCCCCAUUCCCCCACUGAAUGUUGAGGGUGAAACAAGAGGCUGCUAGAUAACUGACAUUUUUACUUCAAGUUAUUAAACAAUGA